rnacentral:rRNA from 1 species
GGGGCAGCACGGUGUAGCGAUACACUGGUGGCGACCGGCGCACGGGUGAGUAACACGUGUGCAACCAACCCCGUACCGGGAGAUAACCCGCGGAAACGUGGACUAACAUCCCAUGAGACUCUAGAGCCGCAUGGCUCUAGAUUUAAAAUUCCGGUGGUACGGGACGGGCACGCGCGACAUUAGGUAGUUGGCGGGGUAACGGCCCACCAAGCCGACGAUGUCUAGGGGUUCUGAGAGGAAGGUCCCCCACACUGGAACUGAGACACGGUCCAGACUCCUACGGGAGGCAGCAGUGAGGAAUAUUGGUCAAUGGGCGAGAGCCUGAACCAGCCAAGUCGCGUGAGGGAAGAAUGGUCUAUGGCCUGUAAACCUCUUUUGUCAAGGAAGAAUAAGGAGGACGAGUCAUUCGAUGCCAGUACUUGACGAAUAAGCAUCGGCUAACUCCGUGCCAGCAGCCGCGGUAAUACGGGGGAUGCGAGCGUUAUCCGGAUUUAUUGGGUUUAAAGGGCGCGUAGGCGGGACGGCAAGUCAGCGGUAAAAGACUGCAGCUAAACUGUAGCACGCCGUUGAAACUGUUGACCUCGAGACGAGACGAGGGAGGCGGAACAAGUGAAGUAGCGGUGAAAUGCAUAGAUAUCACUUGGAACCCCGAUAGCGAAGGCAGCUUCCCAGGCUCGAUCUGACGCUGAUGCGCGAGAGCGUGGGUAGCGAACAGGAUUAGAUACCCUGGUAGUCCACGCCGUAAACGAUGCUCACUGGAUCUUGGCGAUACACGGCCAGGGUUCAAGCGAAAGUAUUAAGUGAGCCACCUGGGGAGUACGUCGGCAACGAUGAAACUCAAAGGAAUUGACGGGGGCCCGCACAAGCGGAGGAACAUGUGGUUUAAUUCGAUGAUACGCGAGGAACCUUACCCGGGUUUAAAUGUGGAGUGCAUGAUCUGGAAACAGUUCUUUCCCUCGGGACUCUUC